GCCAAAAUCGGGAAAUUUCUUGAAAUUGCGCCACGCUGCGCCAAAACGCCCGACCAGUCUGAUAAUUUCCUCAGUUGCGCUAAUUUUAGCGAGACAUGGUGGCCACUGAAUCUUGGUGU
rnacentral:lncRNA from 1 species